UACGAAGGGGGCUAGCGUUGCUCGGAAUCACUGGGCGUAAAGCGUGCGCAGGCGGCUUUGCAAGACAGAUGUGAAAUCCCCGGGCUUAACCUGGGAAUGGCGUUUGGGACUGGGUCGCUAGAGUGUGGCAGAGGGAGGUGGAAUUCCACGUGUAGCAGUGAAAUGCGUAGAGAUGUGGAGGAACACCGAUGGCGAAGGCAGCCUCCUGGGCCAGCACUGACGCUCAUGCACGAAAGCGUGGGGAGCAAACAGG
rnacentral:rRNA from 1 species